rnacentral:tRNA from 3 species
CGGGACGUAGCGCAGUCUGGCAGCGCGUCUGCUUCGGGAGCAGAAGGUCGCUGGUUCAAAUCCAGUCGUCCCGACCA